rnacentral:rRNA from 1 species
GAUGAACGCUAGCGGCAGGCCUAAUACAUGCAAGUCGAACGGUGUAGCAAUACACAGUGGCGCACGGGUGCGUAACACGUAUGCAACCUACCUUACAUUGGGGGAUAGCCUUUCGAAAGGGAGAUUAAUACCGCAUAAGACAGUAACUAGGCAUCUAGUAGCUGUUAAAGAUUUAUCGAUGUAAGCUGGGCAUGCGUCCAAUUAGUUAGUUGGCGAGGUAAUGGCUAACCAAGACGAUGAUGGGUAGGGGAACUGAGAGGUCAAUCCCCCACCCUGGCACUGGGAUAAGGGCCAGACGCCUACGGGAGGCAGCAGUUGGGAAUAUUGGGCAAUGGGCGCAAGCCUGACCCAGCCAUGCCGGGUGCAGGAAGAAGGCGUUAUGCGUUGUAAACUGCUUUUAUACAGGAAGAAACGACCCUUGCGAGGGGCAUUGACGGUACUGUAUGAAUAAGCACCGGCUAACUCCGUGCCAGCAGCCGCGGUAACAC